rnacentral:rRNA from 1 species
GACGAACGCUGGCGGCGUGCCUAAUACAUGCAAGUUGAGCGCUGAAGGUUGGUACUUGUACCAACUGGAUGAGCAGCGCACGGGUGAGUAACGCGUGGGGAAUCUGCCUUUGAGCGGGGGACAACAUUUGGAAACGAAUGCUAAUACCGCAUAAAAACUUUAAACACAAGUUUUAAGUUUGAAAGAUGCAAUUGCAUCACUCAAAGAUGAUCCCGCGUUGUAUUAGCUAGUUGGUGAGGUAAAGGCUCACCAAGGCGAUGAUACAUAGCCGACCUGAGAGGGUGAUCGGCCAAAUUGGGACGGGGACAAGGCCCAAAAUGCUACGGGAGGCAGCAGGAGGGAAACGUCGGCAAAGGACGAAAGACAGACCGAGCAACGCCGAGGGAGGGAAGAAGGUUUUCGGGUCGUAAAACUCUGUUGGUAGGGAAGAACGUGGGUGAGAGUGGAAAGCGCAUCAAGUGACGGUAACUACACAGAAAGGGACGGCUAACUACGUG